rfam:Mus musculus chromosome 13, GRC primary reference assembly.
CAAAUGGUUCUUUUUAGAACCAGUCAGAAUCACACCAAUUUUUUUU